UACAGAGGUCUCAAGCGUUGCUCGGAUUCAUUGGGCGUAAAGGGUGCGUAGGCGGCGCGGUAAGUCGGGUGUGAAAUCUCGGGGCUUAACUCCGAAACUGCAUUCGAUACUGCCGUGCUUGAGGACUGGAGAGGAGACUGGAAUUUACGGUGUAGCGGUGAAAUGCGUAGAUAUCGUAAGGAAGACCAGUGGCGAAGGCGGGUCUCUGGACAGUUCCUGACGCUGAGGAGCGAAAGCGUGGGGAGCGAACAGG
rnacentral:rRNA from 1 species